rnacentral:ncRNA from 2 species
UUGAAGGUUGAGGGAGACGACUUCUAAUGUGGGGACAUUAGAAGGGACCGAAGGGACAAACUUAAAACCAUCCCAAAAGGAUUUAAGUGAAAUUCUCAGUAAAAGGACUUUAGCUGGACG